ACUCCCACAGACUAACACAUACAAGUCGAGAGGAAACGGCGUUGAGUGCUUGCAUUCUUCGGACGUCGACGGCGCACGGGGUGAGUAACGCGUAUCCAACUUUCCCCAUAACUAAGGGAUAACCUGCCGAAAGGCAGACUAAUACCUUAUGUAAUCCUUUGACGGCAUCAGAUUAGGAUUAAAGAUUUAUCGGUUAUGGAUGGGGAUGCGUCUGAUUAGCUUGUUGGCGGGGUAACAGCCCACCAAGGCAACGAUCAGUAGGGGUUCUGAGAGGAAGGUCCCCCACAUUGGAACUGAGACACGGUCCAAACUCCUACGGGAGGCAGCAGUGAGGAAUAUUGGUCAAUGGGCGAGAGCCUGAACCAGCCAAGUAGCGUGCAGGACGACGGCCCUAUGGGUUGUAAACUGCUUUUGUAUGGGGAUAAAGUCAAUCACGUGUGAUUGUUUGCAGGUACCAUACGAAUAAGGACCGGCUAAUUCCGUGCCAGCAGCCGCGGUAAUACGGAAGGUUCGGGCGUUAUCCGGAUUUAUUGGGUUUAAAGGGAGCGUAGGCCGGAGAUUAAGUGUGUUGUGAAAUGUAGACGCUCAACGUCUGACUUGCAGCGCAUACUGGUUUCCUUGAGUACGCACAACGUUGGCGGAAUUCGUCGUGUAGCGGUGAAAUGCUUAGAUAUGACGAAGAACUCCGAUUGCGAAGGCAGCUGACGGGAGCGCCACUGACGCUUAAGCUCGAAGGUGCGGGUAUCGAACAGG
rnacentral:rRNA from 1 species